rnacentral:rRNA from 1 species
GAUGAACGCUGGCGGCGUGCCUAAUACAUGCAAGUCGAGCGAACGGAUGAGAAGCUUGCUUCUCUGCGGUUAGCGGCGGACGGGUGGGUAACACGUGGAUAACCUACCUAUUAGUCUGGGAGAACUUCGUGAAACCGGAGCUAAUACCAGAUAAUAUGUUGAACCGCAGGAUUCAGAAGUGCAAGGCGGUCUUGCUGUCACUUAGAGAUGGAUCCGCGCUGCAUUAGCUAGUUGGUAAGGUAACGGCUUACCAAGGCAACGAUGCAUAGCCGACCUGAGAGGGUGAUCGGCCACACUGGAACUGAGACACGGUCCAGACUCCUACGGGAGGCAGCAGUAGGGAAUCUUCCGCAAUGGGCGAAAGCCUGACGCAGCAACGCCGCGUGAGUGAUGAAGGUCUUCGGAUCGUAAAACUCUGUUAUUAGGGAAGAACAUAUGUGUAAGUAACUGUGCACAUCUUGACGGUACCUAAUCAGAAAGCCACGGCUAACUACGUG